rnacentral:rRNA from 1 species
UACAUACAAUGACUCUCGGCAACGGAUAUCUCGGCUCUUGCAUCGAUGAAGAACGUAGCGAAAUGCGAUACUUGGUGUGAAUUGCAGAAUCCCGUGAACCAUCGAGUCUUUGAACGCAAGUUGCGCCCGAAGCCAUUAGGCCGAGGGCACGCCUGCCUGGGUGUCACACA